rnacentral:rRNA from 1 species
CCUACGGGAGGCAGCAGUAGGGAAUAUUGCUCAAUGGGGGAAACCCUGAAGCAGCAACGCCGCGUGGAGGAUGAAGGUUUUCGGAUUGUAAACUCCUUUUGUUAGAGAAGAUAAUGACGGUAUCUAACGAAUAAGCACCGGCUAACUCCGUGCCAGCAGCCGCGGUAAUACGGAGGGUGCAAGCGUUACUCGGAAUCACUGGGCGUAAAGAGCGCGAAGGCGGGAUAGCAAGUCAGAUGUGAAAUCCUAUGGGUUAAACAUAGAACUGCAUUUGAAACUGGUGUUCUAGAGUCUGGGGUAGGUAGGUGGAAUUCGUGGUGUAGGGGGGAAA